rnacentral:rRNA from 1 species
GGUUAAGCGACUAAGCGUACACGGUGGAUGCCCCGGCAGUCAGAGGCGAUGAAGGACGUGCUAAUCUGCGAUAAGCGUCGGUAAGGUGAUAUGAACCGUUAUAACCGGCGAUUUCCGAAUGGGGAAACCCAGUGUGUUUCGACACACUAUCAUUAACUGAAUCCAUAGGUUAAUGAGGCGAACCGGGGGAACUGAAACAUCUAAGUACCCCGAGGAAAAGAAAUCAACCGAGAUUCCCCCAGUAGCGGCGAGCGAACGGGGAGGAGCCCAGAGCCUGAAUCAGUGUGUGUGUUAGUGGAAGCGUCUGGAAAGGCGCGCGAUACAGGGUGACAGCCCCGUACACAAAAAUGCACAUACUGUGAGCUCGAUGAGUAGGGCGGGACACGUGGUAUCCUGUCUGAAUAUGGGGGACCAUCCUCCAAGGCUAAAUACUCCUGACUGACCGAUAGUGAACCAGUACCGUGAGGGAAAGGCGAAAAGAACCCCGGCGAGGGGAGUGAAAAAGAACCUGAAACCGUGUACGUACAAGCAGUGGGAGCCUCUUUUAUGGGGUGACUGCGUACCUUUUGUAUAAUGGGUCAGCGACUUAUAUUCUGUAGCAAGGUUAACCGAAUAGGGGAGCCGAAGGGAAACCGAGUCUUAACUGGGCGUUAAGUUGCAGGGUAUAGACCCGAAACCCGGUGAUCUAGCCAUGGGCAGGUUGAAGGUUGGGUAACACUAACUGGAGGACCGAACCGACUAAUGUUGAAAAAUUAGCGGAUGACUUGUGGCUGGGGGUGAAAGGCCAAUCAAACCGGGAGAUAGCUGGUUCUCCCCGAAAGCUAUUUAGGUAGCGCCUCGUGAAUUCAUCUCCGGGGUAGAGCACUGUUUCGGCAAGGGGGUCAUCCCGACUUACCAACCCGAUGCAAACUGCGAAUACCGGAGAAUGUUAUCACGGGAGACACACGGCGGGUGCUAACGUCCGUCGUGAAGAGGGAAACAACCCAGACCGCCAGCUAAGGUCCCAAAGUCAUGGUUAAGUGGGAAACGAUGUGGGAAGGCCCAGACAGCCGGGAUGUUGGCUUAGAAGCAGCCAUCAUUUAAAGAAAGCGUAAUAGCUCACUGGUCGAGUCGGCCUGCGCGGAAGAUGUAACGGGGCUAAACCAUGCACCGAAGCUGCGGCAGCGACGCUUAUGCGUUGUUGGGUAGGGGAGCGUUCUGUAAGCCUGUGAAGGUGUACUGUGAGGUAUGCUGGAGGUAUCAGAAGUGCGAAUGCUGACAUAAGUAACGAUAAAGCGGGUGAAAAGCCCGCUCGCCGGAAGACCAAGGGUUCCUGUCCAACGUUAAUCGGGGCAGGGUGAGUCGACCCCUAAGGCGAGGCCGAAAGGCGUAGUCGAUGGGAAACAGGUUAAUAUUCCUGUACUUGGUGUUACUGCGAAGGGGGACGGAGAAGGCUAUGUUAGUCGGGCGACGGUUGUCCCGGUUUAAGCGUGUAGGCUGGUUUUCCGAGCAAAUCCGGAAAAUCAAGGCUGAGGCGUGAUGACGAGGCACUACGGUGCUGAAGCAACAAAUGCCCUGCUUCCGGGAAAAGCCUCUAAGCAUCAGGUAACAUCAAAUCGUACCCCAAACCGACACAGGUGGUCAGGUAGAGAAUACCAAGGCGCUUGAGAGAACUCGGGUGAAGGAACUAGGCAAAAUGGUGCCGUAACUUCGGGAGAAGGCACGCUGAUAUGUAGGUGAAGCGACUUGCUCGUGGAGCUGAAAUCAGUCGAAGAUACCAGCUGGCUGCAACUGUUUAUUAAAAACACAGCACUGUGCAAACACGAAAGUGGACGUAUACGGUGUGACGCCUGCCCGGUGCCGGAAGGUUAAUUGAUGGGGUUAGCGGUAACGCGAAGCUCUUGAUCGAAGCCCCGGUAAACGGCGUACGUAACUAUAACGGUCCUAAGGUAGCGAAAUUCCUUGUCGGGUAAGUUCCGACCUGCACGAAUGGCGUAAUGAUGACCAGAGCUGUCUCCACCCGAGACUCAGUGAAAUUGAACUCGCUGUGAAGAUGCAGUGUACCCGCGGCAAGACGGAAAGACCCCGUGAACCUUUACUAUAGCUUGACACUGAACAUUGAGCCUUGAUGUGUAGGAUAGGUGGGAGGCUUUGAAGUGUGGACGCCAGUCUGCAUGGAGCCGGCCUUGAAAUACCACCCUUUAAUGUUUGAUGUUCUAACGUUGGCCCCUGAUCGGGGUUGCGGACAGUGUCUGGUGGGUAGUUUGACUGGGGCGGUCUCCUCCUAAAGAGUAACGGAGGAGCACGAAGGUUGGCUAAUCCUGGUCGGACAUCAGGAGGUUAGUGCAAUGGCAUAAGCCAGCUUGACUGCGAGCGUGACGGCGCGAGCAGGUGCGAAAGCAGGUCAUAGUGAUCCGGUGGUUCUGAAUGGAAGGGCCAUCGCUCAACGGAUAAAAGGUACUCCGGGGAUAACAGGCUGAUACCGCCCAAGAGUUCAUAUCGACGGCGGUGUUUGGCACCUCGAUGUCGGCUCAUCACAUCCUGGGGCUGAAGUAGGUCCCAAGGGUAUGGCUGUUCGCCAUUUAAAGUGGUACGCGAGCUGGGUUUAGAACGUCGUGAGACAGUUCGGUCCCUAUCUGCCGUGGGCGCUGGAGAACUGAGGGGGCUGCUCCUAGUACGAGAGGACCGGAGUGGACGCAUCACUGGUGUUCGGGUUGUCAUGCCAAUGGCACUGCCCGGUAGCUAAAUGCGGAAGAGAUAAGUGCUGAAAGCAUCUAAGCACGAAACUUGCCCCGAGAUGAGUUCUCCCUGAGACUUUAAGUCUCCUGAAGGAACGUUGAAGACGACGACGUUGAUAGGCCGGGUGUGUAAGCGCAGCGAUGCGUUGAGCUAACCGGUACUAAUGAACCGUGAGGCUUAACCUU